rnacentral:sRNA from 1 species
CAUUAUUGAAAUAAACCUGCUGGGUUGUUGCUGGCUCUCCAGGGAGCAUGUGCAUGCCUUGUCAUCUUUAUAUCUCCACCUGUGCACCUUUUGUAGACAUCUUUCCAGGUGUCUAUGUUGACCCUUCAUUUGCCCCCCAAUGUAUGUCAAUAGAAUGUUGUGUCCAUGAUAAUAAAAUCUAUACAACUUUCAGCAACGGAUCUCUUGGCUCUCGCAUCGAUGAAGAACGCAGCGAAAUGCGAUAAGUAAUGUGAAUUGCAGAAUUCAGUGAAUCAUCGAAUCUUUGAACGCACCUUGCGCUCCUUGGUAUUCCGAGGAGCAUGCCUGUUUGAGUGUCAUUAAUAUUAUAUAUCGAACCCUCUUUUGUUGAGUGGUUUGGAUGUGGGGUUUGCUGGCCUCUUGAAGAGGUCAGCUUCCCUGAAAUGCAUUAGCAGAACAACCUGUUCGUUCAUUGGUGUGAUAACUAUCUACGCUAUUGAACGGUGAAGGCAAGUUCAGCUUCCUAACCGUCUUUGGACAAUUUAUCAUCUAUAUGUGACCUCAAAUCAGGUAGGACUACCCGCUGAACUUAAGCAUAUCAU